GUCCCGUUCGACAGGAGUUUACGACCCGAAGAUCUUCGUCCUCCACGCGGCGUUGCGUCGUCAGGCUUGCGCCCAUUGCGAACAAUUCCCCACUGCUGCCUCCCGUAGGAGUCUGGGCCGUGUCUCAGUCCCAGUGUGUCCGUCCGCCCUCUCAGGCCGGAUACUGAUCGUCGCCUUGGUGAGCCAUUACCUC
rnacentral:rRNA from 1 species